UGAAACUCAAAGGAAUUGACGGGGGCCCGCACAAGCGGAGGAACAUGUGGUUUAAUUCGAUGAUACGCGAGGAACCUUACCCGGGCUUAAAUUGCAACCGAAUAUAUCGGAAACGUUAUAGCUAGCAAUAGCGGUUGUGAAGGUGCUGCAUGGUUGUCGUCAGCUCGUGCCGUGAGGUGUCGGCUUAAGUGCCAUAACGAGCGCAACCCUUGUCUAUAGUUACUAACAGGUCAUGCUGAGGACUCUAUGGAGACUGCCAUCGUAAGAUGUGAGGAAGGUGGGGAUGACGUCAAAUCAGCACGGCCCUUACGUCCGAGGCUACACACGUGUUACAAUGGGGGGUACAGCAGGCAGCUACCGGGCGACCGGAUGCUAAUCUCCAAAACCCCUCUCGGUUCGGAUUGAAGUCUGCAACCCGACUUCAUGAAGCUGGAUUCGCUAGUAAUCGCGCAUCAGCCACGGCGCGGUGAAUACGUUCCCGGGCCUUGUACACACCGCCC
rnacentral:rRNA from 1 species